rnacentral:rRNA from 1 species
GAUGAACGCUGGCGGCGUGCCUAAUACAUGCAAGUCGAGCGAACGGACGAGAAGCUUGCCUCUCUGAUGUUAGCGGCGGACGGGUGAGUAACACGUGGAUAACCUACCUAUAAGACUGGGAUAACUUCGGGAAACCGGAGCUAAUACCGGAUAAUAUUUUGAACCGCAUGGUUCAAAAGUGAAAGACGGUCUUGCUGUCACUUAUAGAUGGAUCCGCGCUGCAUUAGCUAGUUGGUAAGGUAACGGCUUACCAAGGCAACGAUGCAUAGCCGACCUGAGAGGGUGAUCGGCCACACUGGAACUGAGACACGGUCCAGACUCCUACGGGAGGCAGCAGUAGGGAAUCUUCCGCAAUGGGCGAAAGCCUGACGGAGCAACGCCGCGUGAGUGAUGAAGGUCUUCGGAUCGUAAAGCUCUGUUAUUAGGGAAGAACAGAUGUGUAAGUAACUGUGCACAUCUUGACGGUACCUAAUCAGAAAGCCACGGCUAACUACGUG